rnacentral:rRNA from 1 species
AGUGAACGCUGGCGGUAGGCCUAACACAUGCAAGUCGAACGGCAGCACAGUAAGAGCUUGCUCUUACGGGUGGCGAGUGGCGGACGGGUGAGGAAUACAUCGGAAUCUACUUUUUCGUGGGGGAUAACGUAGGGAAACUUACGCUAAUACCGCAUACGACCUACGGGUGAAAGCAGGGGAUCUUCGGACCUUGCGCGAUUGAAUGAGCCGAUGUCGGAUUAGCUAGUUGGCGGGGUAAAGGCCCACCAAGGCGACGAUCCGUAGCUGGUCUGAGAGGAUGAUCAGCCACACUGGAACUGAGACACGGUCCAGACUCCUACGGGAGGCAGCAGUGGGGAAUAUUGGACAAUGGGCGCAAGCCUGAUCCAGUCAUACCGCGUGGGUGAAGAAGGCCUUCGGGUUGUAAAGCCCUUUUGUUGGGAAAGAAAAGCAGCAGGUUAAUACCCCGCUGUUCCGACGGUACCCAAAGAAUAAGCACCGGCUAACUUCGUG